CGAAGACGUCAGUAUAAUUCUGUGAAAGAAGCGACACAAGUGCCACAAGGAACAAAGACCUGUCUGAAGGCCGUGCGCGCGCGAGAGAGAGAGAGAGAGAGAGAGAGAGACCGAGAGAAGGUCGGCAGAUAAAAAGGCAUUGAAAGCUAAGCAAGCCCGGCAACGACAGCCAUGACAGCAGCACAGCGAGAACGUUGUCUUCUUCUGGGCAAGACUAGACUCGAUGCAGGCGAAAGUCGUGUGGAAGUCUACCAAGUGUAACCUAUCUACAUCUGGUUCUGAUAGCGAAGGAUGACGCCGAAGCCCUCGAAAGCAUCCACCCACCCAAUGCCCUCUUGUUCCGAGCGUGCCAUGGCACAGCACGAGCCAUGGUGUUCAUCAAGGUCAUCCAUCUUCCUGCACAUCGACUGUAGUGUUCGAGAGAGACACUGAGGUGGCAGAAACAUCAUGUGAUGGAGCAGAUUUCCGUGUCUCAGAAUCAUCAGAACAGUCAACAAAAGGGAACUCCCCUGCGUCAACAAUGCCUCGAGGUGUUGGAAGUGGAAAUGGUGCAAGUAAAUUCGACAUUAAUCUCUAUCAUUCUGUUAAGCUGUUCUUAUCAGAAGCAACCUUUUGAUCGAUUAGCCAUUGAAAUUAUUUCUCCGAGGAAAAGGAUAUGAAAUGUCACACUCUCCUGCAUGCACGACAUGAAAGUGGCCUGCAUUUUUUGUGUUAGCGCUGUCAAAGAAAACAUUUAAAUUAUCAUA